CUUAACAAUGUAAAAAUGGGAUUUGGUUCCCAAGCUAUUUUUGUACUUUGCCCUCAAAUAACUGACUAGGAAAAACUUAAACUGACUAAAAAGGAACUAGAAGAGUCUUCCACUACCUUAGCUAGGAGUGGACUACAAAAGUUUUUUCUCAAGGUACAGUGCACAGUUGUUCAGAGUAAAGCACAUAGAGCCCUUAGCAUUCAAUGCAUUUUCUUUAUAUCUCUAAAGUUCCUUAAAUAUUUAACCAUGUAUAUCAGGAAAAGGACAAUUGGAGAGUAGAAGUUCAAUUGCAGGCUUUUUGUAUCAAUGACAUGUACAUAAAAGCUUCAAAGAUGACCCAGACAGAUCUCUGCGUGAGCUGUGUAUAUAUGAUAGUGCUACCAUAUUUCUCAUAUUUAAUGAUAUUCUACUUUUGGAAUUUUAGUGUAUGUAUACAAAAAUGGGUUUAAUAACUCAACCGUGGUUCUGAUUUGUCAUAUAUUAAUAAUUUCUUAAAAUUCUUGUAUGUGCUUUUUACAAUAAAAAGUAAAAGUAAGUGACGCCAAAAAAAAAAGUCAAGAAUAAAAAAACAAGGUGUAUCUAUAGCGUAGUGAAAUUCACAAUGCCACAGAUAAAGAGAAGACUCUAAAACCUUCCACAGAGGGAAAAAAACCAAGCCAUAGUCAAAUUACAGGGAGUUGAGAUGACGUUGUAUUCUUAAGAGCAACAUGGGAAAGUAGAGGACAAUGGAGCAAGGCAAAGAAGACAAUAGAAAAUGCUUUGAAUCUUCAAUUCUGUGCCUAAACUAUCAGGUAUGAGAGCAGAGUGGAGAGACUUUUAGUUAAUCAAUGACUCAGGAAGUUUACCUUCCAUACGUACUUUCUCAGGAGUUUAUUUGUGUAUGUAAUACACCAGCAAAAGGAAAAGAAGGUGUGGUUACCCAAAAAACAAGGGACCCAACAGAGGAGAGACAUGAAGAGGACCUUCUUUCAGUCAUGCACUGGAACCAGAGAAGAAAGUACAAUCAGAGAAAAGUCUUUGGCUCUUCAGUGAACGGUAUUUACACAAUCAUAGUAAUGUAAACAUUGUUUUUUGGUUUUCCACUUUUAGAAUCAACAUAUGUGAGAAGGGGGCAGGGUCGUCCCUACAAUCCCUUUGUUCAUCUCUCACCCUUCUUUCCUACUCCAUUCAAGCUAUACCUUGGUCUCUACUGGGCCACACAGAUGGUGAUCAGAUGAAGAUGUGAAUCCAUCUCAGUGACUGCUGAGGGCCUUUGGAUAUUGUAUUGUCAGAACAUUAAGCUUGGAGUUGCUGAAACCGUAUUGCAGUCAUGAGGAGAGCCAAGAGAGGAGGACAAAGCUGCUAUGCUGAGAAACGAAAGAGGGGAACAAUUUAAUGAAAAUCUGGGGCUGGCGAUUAACACUUUGGCUAAACUACCUCAGAACAUUUUGUGAGAACAUGCUUUUUUUUUUUAUUGUUUUAGACAGUUGAGUUAGAUUUCCUGUUACUUGCAAGCAAAUGCAUCCUAACAGAGCCUAAAGAAUUCUAGGGGGGAAAAAAAAGAGUUCUAAGGAAUUCUGGCCAAGAUAGUAAAUAUAUUUUUUAAAAGUGAUUUCUGGCUUCCCUGAUGGCGCAGUGGUUAAGAAUCUGCCUGCCAGUGCAGGGGACACAGGUUCAUGCCCUGGUCUGGGAAGAUCCCACAUGCCGCAGAGCAACUAAGCCCGUGCACCACAGCUACUGAGCCUGUGCUCUAGAGCCCGCGAGCCACCACUACUGAGCCCAUGUGCCACAACUACUGAACCCCAUGCGCCUAGAGCCCGUGCUCGGCCAUAAGAGAAGACACCACAAUGAGAAGCCCGUGCACCAUAAAGAAGAGUAGCCCCCGCUCCCCGCAAUUAGAGAAAGCCCGUGAGCAGCGACGAAGACACAACACAGCCAAAAAUAAAAUAAAUUAAUUAAUUUUUUUAAAAAAGAAAUAUAAUGAGGCUUAAGGUGAUUAAAUGCCUGUGGUGACUCUGCUACAAUGUACCAGAAAUGGGGUUUAAAAAAAUAUAUAUAUAUCAUUGGUUCGAUGCUCAAAUUAUCCCAGACUUGGCCAGUGGGAGCCCCUUCAAGCCAGAUCCUGAGUCCUCUUGGCAUCUCUCCAUCACUUACUUUUUAUCACUUCCGUACUUCUCAGCACAAUAAGAUGUUCCAAGCUCAACUGGUAUUUUCCCUGUUCCUCUCUGGAAUAAGCUAUUUAUUCAAGGAACACUGGUUCCUUUUAGUGACGAUGUUAUUUAGAAACCAACAUCUAGGUCCUAGAUAUACUCUACUAGGAUAUUUCUGCUUCCAGUCCCACUCUGUGGUCAGACCUAGGAAGUAUAAGUAUAUACCUUCCUUCUAUAUUUAUUUCUAUAACUCUCCACCUGUAUUGUAAACUAUUAUUUCACAUUGAUAAUUCCAAACCCAGUUCAAUAACACGGGAUUCAUCUAAUUUUCUCCCUUUUUGUUUUUGUUUCUUCCUUGUCAGUCAGUGAGAAAUCUGGCUACCAUUAUCUGAAAUAUAUAUAUAUUUUUAAAUAUUUUAUUUUAUUCACUUAUUUUGGCUGCGCUGGGUCUUAGUUGUGGCACGCCAGAUCUUCGCUGUGGUACGCAGGAUCUUUUAGUUGCAGCAUGCGGACUCUUAGUUGCAGCAUGCAGACUCUUAGUUGUGUCAUGCAGACUCUUAGUUGUGGCAUGUGGGCUCCUUAGUUGUGGCAUGUGGGCUUCUUAGUUGUGGCACGUGGGCUUCUUAGUUGCAGCAUGUGGACUUCUUAGUUGUGGCACGUGGGCUUCUUAGUUGCGGCAUGUGGACUUCUUAGUUGAGGCAUGCAGACUCUUAGUUGUGAAAUGCCUGCGGGAUCUAGUUCCCCCACCAGGGAUUGAACCUGGGUCCCCUGCAUUGGGAGUGUGGAGUCUUACCUACUGGACUACCAGGGAAGUCCCUGAAAUACUUUUUAUUAUGUGUUGAAUCCUCUGUAUGAGCCAGUCUCCUGCCCCUGCUGCUGCCACUCUCUCCAAUGCUCUCCUCACAAUGGGUUGCCAUUACCUGCUACCUUAGAGUUAUCCCUGUUGCCCUCCUCUGAUAUCAUCCUUAUAUGGGCCACCAUUACGUUCUCACCUGUGAAAUCAAUCAAUUCUGAAAAUAAAUAGCAGAGGAUCCUUUUCUUUGCUAAUAAACAAAUACAAUGUGAAAUCAAGAAAUUACUCAAGUUUAUUUAACUUUUUAAAUUUAUUUUAUUUAUUUUUGGCUGCGUUGGGUCUUCGUUGCUGUAUGCGGGCUUUCUCUAGUUGCGGCGACGGGGGGCUACUCUUCGUUGCAGUAUGUGGGCUUCUCAUUGCAGUGGCGUCUCUUGUUGUGGAGCACGGGCUCUAGGCACGCAGUCUCAGUAGUUGUGGUGCAUGCGCUGUAGAGUGCAGGCUCAGUAGUUGUGGCCCAUGGGCUCAGUUGCUCUGCGGCAUGUGGGAUCUUCCUGGACCAGGGGUUGAACCCAUGUUCCCUGCAUCGGCAGAUGGAUUCUUAACCACUGUGCCACCAGGGAAGUCCCUUUUUAACUUUUUAAUAUUUGAAUGGUGGUAUUCAAAAAAGUAUCCAGUCUAAAAGCACUAUUUGCUUAAAAAAUAUAUUUAAAAUAUCUUGAACAUGCAAUAAAAGGAGUGAAUCACAAAAAUAUUAUGCCAUGCAAAGACAAAAAACAAACCCAGGUACGAAAGAGGUCUUUACAUACUGUGUUUUACAUACUGAGUUCACUUUGGCACCAUGUAUACUAAAACUGGAACUAUACAGGAAAGAUUAGCAUGACCUCUGCACAAAGAUGACACAAAUUUAUGAAGCAUUCCAUAUUUUUUUGUUAUACAUAUGUUACCAUGAUAAAAAAUAGUAAACUAGAAAGAGUAUAUACUGUAUCAUUCCGUUUACAUGAAAUUCUAGAAUAGGAAAAACUGUAUCUAUAGUAACAAAUAGCAGAUCAGUGGUUGCCUAGGGCAGGGGAAUUCACUGCAGAGAGGCAUGAGGGGGAACUAUGAUGGAAAUGGAAAUUCCAUUUUGGGGUGAUGGAAAUGGUUUAUAACUUGAUAAUAGUAUAAAUUUGUCAAAACACUUGAAACUGCAUACUUGAAAUGCAUUUCAUUAUGUGUAAAUCAUAUUUCAACAAAAUUGAUUUUUAAGAAAAAUAUUGAAAUUAUAGAAUUCUAAAGAGCUGGAAAGGAUCAAAGUGUCUUCUGCUUUUUCAGAUGAUAAAAACUGAGCUCUAAAGAGGCUAAAGUCAUUAGGCCAACCAGUUGAUUGCAAAAUUAGGAUAGACUUAAGUUUCCAAACUUCAACUAGUUCAGUAUCUUUCCAUACCUGUCUCUUCUUUCUUGACAUGCCAUGGUGCCUGACCAGAAAAGUACUCUGCGAAAGAUCAAAUUUGUGCUUUUCCUUUCUUUCAGAUCACAGGCUAGGGUAGAGAAUGACAAGCAAAGCCUUACUUAGAAGGAUAGACAAACAGUAGGGAGCUCUGAAUGUCCUGGGAGAAGGGCAUAGCAAGACUUUCUGUGUCUUGAUAUAAACAAAAUAAACAAGAAACUGCCUCAUUUUUUUGGGAAGUGGUGCUUGCUGGAGGGAAAGGGAGAAAUGUGGUUCUGGAACCUUGAUACCUUGAGUCGUCCUGACCCAGCCCUCCUGUGGCUGUGUGUGAGCUGCUCUGGCUGAUUGUUAAGAGUGGGCCCUUGGGGGGCCAAAUGUGGAACAUCCUUGGCAAACUUAACUUAUCUUCCUUCAGAGAGUUCGACCUCAUAGCAGGAAUAUAGACAGGCAAGGGCGUCAUCCACAAGCAGUGGACAAGCAGUGCCUUUUGGAUCGAGGGGGACCAGUUUCCAAAAGUGACAAUGUGAGAUAAUGAGAAACUAUGGCAUUAGCCAAUUGAUCAGACUCCAAUUAAGAAGAGAACAGAACCUGCUAUAGACUGAAUAAGUUAUCUCUUGGGGUAUCUGGGCAAUUUAUGGGGGAGUGUUCUACAACUGGGACAUAAUGGGCUUCCUGCUAAAAGGGCUUUUAGGUAAUUAAGCAAUUGUUAGGAAAAAAUAAAAGCAUUGCAAAUAUAUGUGUAUUUGAGUUUAUAGAGCAGGUUAUACUAAUUUUAUUGGAAAUGUUAAUUCAUCCAGGCAGCAGUAUUUAUUGAGCAUACACUUACUAUGUGUCUACACUGUGCUAAGAACUAGGGAUACUGGCUAUACUCCUAGAGUUUAGGGGGUAUAGAUAAGGUGCUUCACAAAAUAGACUGCUAUGCAGUGGGGAGCAUGGGUUCUGAUGGGAUUCAGAGAAUAGACCCCUAAUCUACUCUUCAGAUGAGGAGAAAGGAGAUCAGGAGGUGCCUCUCCAAAGAAAGUAACAUUUUAGGCGUAGAGCUGAAGUAGAGGCUAUCCACAUGAAGGGGAUGACAUUGCUCUAGGAAGGUGGAGACAGCAUAAACAAGGCCCUGGAGAUAAGAGGAUGUGAAUCUUUCAGGAUAAAAGGCAAGUGUAAUAGUUUGAUGUGCCUGGAAUAGAGUCAGGGUAGCAGGAAAAGAUGUGGGAUGAAGCUCUGGAGACAUAGGCUUUGAUCCUAAGGGCAAUGAUGAACCACUGAAGGGUGUUAAACAGGGCAGUGGCAUGAUUAAAAUGUCUAGAAUAUUUUCUCCGGUUACAGUGUAAACAAUGGACCAAAGAGAGGCAUGAUUUACAUGAUGACCAUUAAGAGACUUGUUGGAGUAAGUGAGAAUUAUGGAGGGAAAUAGAUUUGAGUAAGGAGAUACAAGUUUUCAGGACUUCAUUGGGUUUUAGGGAUGAGGGAAGAGAAAGAAAAGUACAGAAUGAUGAACUGUUUCUGAUAGACGAUACAUCUGAGUAAUUAUAACAUCUUUGUGCAUAUAUGUGGAGAAAAAUGCCCAAGGCAACCCUUGCUAUCCAAACUCGGGAACUUGAGAUUCAAGUAAUCUUUUGGAUAAUUUCUUGGCUAUCUAAACUCCUGCUAUUGGCUAGUAUAGCCAGGAACAAAUAGAUUUGGAUAACAAGAUUUCUUUGGAUUCCCUACCUAAAGCCAGGAACUGAAACUCAGGAUUUAGAUAGUAGCGUAUUUGAAGUAUAUUUGUUUUUUGGUUUUGUUUUAGGAGAAAGUUUUGUUUUGCUCUGUUCCUUGCCAUAUAGGUUCAAUAUUUUAGAUAAAAAGAAUUCUAUAUCAUGAGAUAUGAAGUUUAUAUUUUAAUAAGUUGGUAUUUAGGAGAGAGCUCCCAAGACAUAUGGUAUUAAAUGUAUACGUAUGACAAAAUUAAAGUUUUAAAUAUGAGUAGCUCUAUUUUUUAGUAUUUUAUUUAUUUUUUAUUUUUUAAAAUUUAUUUAUUUUUUUAGUUAUUUUAUUUUUGGCUGCAUUGGGUCUUCGUUACUGUGCCUGGGCUUUCUCUAGUUGCAGCGAGUGGGGGCUACUCUCUGUUUUGGUGCUUGGGCUUCUCAUUGCAGUGGCUUCUCUUGCUGCAGAGCACGGGCUCUAGGCGCGCAGGCUCAGUAGUUGUGGCUUGCGGGCUCUAAAGCGCAGGCUCAGUAGUUGUGACACACGGGCUUAGUUGCUCCGCGGCAUGUGGGAACUUCCCAGACCAGGGCUCAAACCCAUGUCCCCUGCAUUGGCAGGGGGAUUCUUAACCACUGCGCCACCAGGGAAGCCCUAUUUUUUAGUAUUUUAGUUUUACAUAGUAGGCUUGUUAAGAACUAAGGAAAUAUAUUUGCUAUCAAGUGAUCAAUUUGACAAAAAUCUAUUAUCUUUACACAAACCAAUACACUUUUUAAAAUAUUCAGCACCAUUCUAAGAUUUCAAUGAAGAAAACAAAACAAAUUUGAUUUUAGGAACAAAGCACUUUUAGCAGAGUUUUAAAAUAAAAAUUUCUUCCAUAUUCACUUCUGGUAUAACAAGGACUUUUAUCAUUAUUUGACUUAUAUGACUGCCGUAUUUUUUCUCAAGUUGACAUAAAACGUGUGAAAAUAUACAAAAAAAGGCAGUGACGAUCCUCUAGUAUUCCAGCAUAGUCCUUCAGAGUCAGAGGUGACAAUAUAUAUCAAACGUUAAGGACUUUUUGAGAUUUGUAAGGGGAUUUCAAAAUGUUGAAAAUAUGAGUGAAAACUGUAAUAGUAUUUAUAUGGGGUUGGAUAAUAGGAAAAAAAUUUUAAUUUUAAUGUUUUCUCUCUUGAUAAGAAUUCCUUGAGUGAUAGAUCACAAGUUCCCUUCCGUAAAGCAAAAGCAUACGUUUUUCCACAGACCACCAAACACAUUUGGACAUCUAGGUUGUAAAUGUAGAUUUCAGAUAAGAUUAUACUUACAUACAAUGUGGUCUGUCUCCUACUUCUCAACAUCUCCUAAACACUCACUUCUCACAGCACCCACCCCUCUCAGCUGAUGCCCCAUCUCAUUCCAUUUUUUAUUGAAAAAAAAAAAAGGGA